rnacentral:misc_RNA from 1 species
AUGUCGGAAUUCUCUCAAACCGCAUUGUUCCCGUCUUUGCCUCGCACUGCUAGAGGAACUGCCGUAGUUCUCGGCAACACCCCCGCUGGAGACAAGAUUCAAUAUUGUAACGGAACAUCGGUUUAUACUGUACCAGUUGGAAGCCUAACCGACACCGAAAUCUACACUGAGCAUUCUCACCAAACGACUGUCGCCAAGACAAGCCCAAGUGGUUAUUAUUGUGCUUCUGGUGAUGUUCAUGGAAAUGUUCGUAUCUGGGACACAACUCAAACCACCCACAUUCUGAAAACUACUAUUCCGGUGUUCUCUGGACCAGUGAAGGAUAUUUCGUGGGAUAGCGAAAGUAAGAGAAUUGCCGCCGUUGGAGAAGGCAGAGAACGUUUCGGUCAUGUUUUCUUGUUUGACACUGGAACGUCUAAUGGAAAUCUUACCGGACAAGCUCGCGCUAUGAACAGCGUCGACUUCAAGCCAUCACGCCCAUUCCGCAUUAUCUCUGGAUCUGAUGAUAAUACAGUGGCGAUUUUUGAAGGACCACCAUUCAAAUUUAAAAGUACUUUCGGAGAACAUACGAAAUUCGUCCACUCUGUGCGCUACAACCCUGAUGGCUCUCUGUUCGCCUCGACUGGAGGAGAUGGAACCAUUGUGUUAUACAACGGAGUUGAUGGAACAAAAACCGGAGUCUUUGAAGAUGACUCUUUGAAAAAUGUCGCUCAUUCUGGAUCUGUGUUUGGCCUUACCUGGAGCCCGGAUGGUACAAAAAUCGCAUCGGCUUCUGCUGAUAAGACCAUUAAAAUUUGGAAUGUGGCUACAUUAAAGGUUGAAAAGACUAUUCCCGUUGGAACUAGAAUUGAAGAUCAACAACUUGGAAUCAUUUGGACCAAGCAGGCUCUUGUGUCUAUCUCUGCUAAUGGAUUUAUCAAUUUUGUCAAUCCAGAAUUGGGAAGUAUCGAUCAGGUUAGAUACGGACACAACAAGGCGAUUACUGCACUUAGCAGCAGCGCUGAUGGAAAAACUCUUUUCAGUGCUGAUGCUGAAGGACAUAUUAACUCCUGGGAUAUUUCCACAGGAAUAUCAAACCGCGUGUUUCCGGAUGUUCACGCCACAAUGAUCACCGGAAUCAAGACAACCAGCAAGGGUGAUUUGUUCACCGUCAGUUGGGAUGAUCAUCUGAAGGUUGUUCCUGCCGGAGGUUCUGGAGUCGAUUCUUCCAAAGCUGUUGCCAACAAAUUAUCUUCGCAACCUCUCGGUCUCGCCGUUUCCGCAGAUGGAGAUAUUGCAGUUGCUGCUUGCUAUAAGCAUAUUGCAAUUUACUCUCAUGGAAAGCUCACGGAAGUACCAAUUAGCUACAAUUCUUCCUGUGUGGCAUUAUCGAACGAUAAGCAAUUUGUUGCUGUUGGUGGACAAGACUCGAAGGUCCAUGUGUACAAACUCUCUGGAGCAAGUGUCUCUGAAGUUAAAACAAUUGUCCAUCCUGCUGAAAUCACAUCUGUCGCAUUUUCGAAUAAUGGAGCUUUCCUCGUGGCAACCGAUCAAUCACGAAAGGUUAGUUUUUGAAAAAAAAUCAUUUCUAUUAUAGAUUUCAAAAUUCAGGUUAUCCCGUACUCUGUUGCGAACAACUUCGAGCUAGCUCACACAAACUCCUGGACUUUCCAUACCGCCAAGGUUGCAUGUGUUUCCUGGUCACCGGACAAUGUCCGUUUGGCGACCGGUUCCUUGGAUAACAGCGUUAUUGUAUGGAACAUGAACAAACCAUCUGAUCAUCCGAUCAUCAUUAAAGGUGCUCAUGCUAUGUCGUCUGUCAAUUCGGUAAUUUGGCUCAACGAAACUACAAUUGUGUCGGCCGGACAAGAUUCGAAUAUCAAGUUCUGGAAUGUACCUUUUUAA